UGGGGAAUAUUGGGCAAUGGGCGCAAGCCUGACCCAGCGACGCCGCGUGGGUGAUGAAGGCCUUCGGGUCGUAAAGCCCUUUCAGCAGGGACGAAAAUGACGGUACCUGCAGAAGAAGCCCCGGCCAACUACGUGCCAGCAGCCGCGGUAAGACGUAGGGGGCGAGCGUUGUCCGGAUUUAUUGGGCGUAAAGAGCUCGUAGGCGGUUGCGUAAGUCGGAUGUGAAAACUCAGGGCUCAACCCUGAGACGCCAUCCGAUACUGCGCUGACUUGAAUCCAGUAGGGGAGUGUGGAAUUCCUGGUGUAGCGGUGAAAUGCGCAGAUAUCAGGAGGAACACCUGAGGCGAAGGCGGGUUGCUAGGCUGACACUGACGCUGAGGCGCGAAAGCUAGGGUAGCAAACGGGAUUAGAUACCCAAGUAGUCCCUGAGCGGGCUGGCAAGGCGCAU
rnacentral:rRNA from 1 species